rnacentral:rRNA from 1 species
UUCCUACGGGAGGCAGCAGUAGGGAAUAUUGCUCAAUGGGGGAAACCCUGAAGCAGCAACGCCGCGUGGAGGAUGAAGGUUUUCGGAUUGUAAACUCCUUUUGUUAGGGAAGAGAAAGGACGGUACCUAAGGAGGAAGCCCCGGAUAACUAUGUGCCAGCAACCGCGGUAAUACAUAGGGGGCAAGCGUUAUCCGGAAUUAUUGGGUGUAAAGGGUGCGUAGACGGGAAAUUAAGUUAGUUGUGAAAUCCCCAGGCUCAACUUGGGAAUUGCAACUAAAACUGGUUUUCUUGAGUACUGGAGAGG